rnacentral:lncRNA from 1 species
AAGCAAUGAAGUUUAGUUUAUUUUAUUUGGAAGGAUGGGAACGGAGAGAAUGGGGUGUUGAGGUCUUAGAAGAAAAAAAAUUUUAAGCAAAUAAAGGUGAGAUCCUUUAAUUGAUGAGCCAAGAAUUGCUCGACUGGGGAUUAAGAAUAAAAGGAGGGUUUGGAAGUGAAGGAACUUGGCAAAAAAGAAGAAGAAAAAAACUGGGUUUACGAGUGAUUGAUAAUGAUGAAGAAGUGAUAAAGGAGCUGGCGCAAAUUAGAGGGAGAAGACUUAAUAUAGAUUGUUAAGGUACUCUUCUUCUUCUUCUUUUUUCUAUUUUGCUUGGUUAUUGUCUUAACUUUUAAUUGCAAUUGCUUCUCAAUGGAAAAUCUUUUUGAAUUAUGAGAGGAGAACAACGUGGGUUAAUGUAACUCGAAUCCAUAUCACAUCUAGAUGGGAAAAUAUCCUCAUUAUUAAGUCAACAUAUAGGUUCAUAGGACAACGGGAUUAAUGCAACUCAAACCCAUAUCACAUCUGGAUGGGACCUCAUUAUUAGGCCAACAUACAGAUUCAAUGGAUUUUCUUUUUAAAGUUAUUGAGGUGAGUUGUGUUGUUAUAUUAAUGUUUUGAUUUUCUAGUUGUUGCAAGAGGGUUGUGUUUUGUAAUGGUAUCCUUACAAGGGUUCUAAAGGUUGUUUGGCUUUUGUUAUUGUAUUGUUGGUUAGUGUCAUCGUUGUUUUCUAGUGCUUCUAAGUGAAUGAAUUUAUGAUGAUUGCCUUCGUUCAUAAAAUACUUUUAAAAAAAAGGAAAAUAAAAGAAAAGGGUUAUCAUGGUAAGAUAGUCUUCGUAUUUAAGAUGCAUACAUCCAAAACGUAUAGGGUGCAUCUAAAGUAAUCAGAGUCAUCAUGAUCAGAUAUUCUUUGUAUUUAAAAUAUUCAUAGUGAGAGUCACUUUACCUAUUUUUAUAUUUAAGAUAACAGAUAAGAACUAUGGUUUAAAUUUGCGUUAAAUAAAUAUUUGACAAAUUAAAAACUAUAAAUAUCAUUUUAUUUAAAUCAAAACAUUCAAAUAUUUGAACCCCAUGUGAUGACCUGGUGAUCUAGGGUGUUCAUUAUCUUAGGUGUGACCUGAAUUUAAGUUGCGCUAGUCGCGCUAAUUGUUCAGACUUUACCUUAUUACUAUAAUUCACCCAAAAAAAAUCACUCACACACUUCAUUUAUUUCUUAAUAUCUCAAUAAAUUAAUUACACAAUCACAAAAUUUGCAAUACAAGAUAUCACAUACAGUAAUAUUUAAUUCUCUUUUUUCAUAGUUUAAUUGCUUAGUCAUGAACUUAAACUUGAUUAUGCAUGCAUAUUGGAAUAACAUGACUUUUUUUCACAAAAUGAAUAUUAUAUUUGAAUCCCCAACAAACCAUAUAUACAACGAUGUUUCAUAUAAUUUUAAAAAUAUAUAGGGUUAAAUCAAUAUUUAGAGUUUCAAUUUAGUAUCUUUUUCUCACAAUAUUGAAAUUUGAAUUCCUUUUAUUUAAUAUUUAUUCUCGGAUUUAAAUUUUUAUUUUGUUAAAAUUAAACUAAAUUUAAUAAUUAUUCCUAUUUUAAGAAAUUUUCAAUGGCUAACUUUUUCUUUUCACACAUAUUUUAUAGUAAUAAAAAAAUGAUGAUGAUGACACCACUAAUGUCCACCAUCGACAAAGAAAAGAAAAAUAGCAAAUCAAUGGCUUACUUCUUUUCCACCUUGAUUAGAAAAUAUAUGGAAGCUUCACCUUUUCCACAAGCAAUAUUUUUGGAACGAUAAAAUUUAUUAAAAUUUUAAAAAUAUUAAAAAAUAUUUUAAUCGAUUUGUAUCAAUUUUUUAUUUAAUUAAAUUAACAUUAUUGUUUGAACUAAUAUUCCAGUGAAUCCACACAACAAUAUUACUUAAUUCAUACAAGUAGGCAACCCAUCCAAGAACUAAGAAUAAAAUUAUGAUUAUGGCCAGAGUUUAUAGCAGUGGUAUCUUAUAUAUGCUCUUCUGCAUAAGCUGCUUUUAGGUGUGUAUUUCUGAAUACAAUAAACGUAUUCAAUUAGAUCCCUUGAAUUUAGUUUUUCAUCGAAACCCUAGACGAGUCAUUAAACCUAACAUGGCAAACACCAAGUACUAACAUAUUCGUAAGAACUUCAAAAAAAUUAUUAUACAAAAUAGAUACGAUAAAAACCCAACCAAGCAUAAAAAAAAUCAAACACCUGAAAACAGUCCAAAACACCUAUAAAACAACCUUCACCAAGACCUAACAGAGAGACCCCUAUACCAUUGGACUAAGAACCUGUGCCAGCAUGCAUAAAACUCGGCGUCGAAUUUGCAGCAACUUGGACGUUGUAAGACCACCCUUCCAUCCGAAAAGAGCACUUGAAUAAAGAGACUCCUACAAAUUAAAAGAUAAUUCCAUUGAAACAACUCACUCGAAACCUUACCAACCAACAGACCUCGUCAGCCCAAAUAGCAAACUGCACCACCUAUCAACAAACCUCCCGAUUAAACGUAAAAUCCAAUCAAAGCAAGCUUCGAUGGCCUGACCAAAAUAAACAAAGAACGCCCCAAGCUCCAACCCAUGAAACAAUGGCAUGCCCAUUAAAUCUGGACUCCAUCAACUUCUGACUCAUCCAUCUGCCAAGUCAAUUCCCCUUCUUCAGCUCAAUCAUCCAUAGCCAAAUCAAAUUGCUUCCUCAUAAUCCAAGUCAUAGUUACUUCUUCAACUCCCCUCAAUAUCACGCAAAUCUACUUCUGAAUCACAAAUAGAUUGAAUUUUCAUCAAAUGGCUAAUAAUUUCUCCCCCCUGGCCCUACUUGCUUCCUUAAGUUCCAAGUAGCAAUUACUUCUUCUAAAGGUUCAAAAUCAACACUCCUUGAUAAUUAAGUUGUUUCUAUUUCUAUUUCUAUAAUCAAUGGAGCAAUUCACUAUCUUGUCAUCCCUGUUUCCUUUUUGAUGACUUCCUUCCCCUCUUAUUCUUCGCUUUUUUUGUAAUUCUUUUGCUUCCCUUUAUCAUCAAGAGCUCGAAACAUUACCAUUGGAUCGAUUUCUGCUACUCGCACCUCUAAACAUGUAUCACCAACUUGCAAAUUGAUAAUUUCAUCAAUUCUUUGCAACUGUUCCAUAAUAAUUUUAGUACUUCCUGUAAAUAAUGAGAUCCCAUUUUCAGUAUCGUUGUCUACUCUAAGGAACUUCCCCCAGUGGCACGCAUUGCUUUGGAAGGUCCCUUUACUCCCAAUUUGAGUCUUCGAAAGAUUGAAACAAGUCAUUGUCCUUGAACAAAAUCAAGAUCAAACGUCCAGAAAGCUUAAAAAUAUUCACCCCAUCAAUUCCCUCUGACAGAAGUUUUCUUUAAAGAAUACGAGGACGACCCAUCUUCAAUCCAAGCAAUAGCACAGUGUUCCAGCCAACUAAGUUUAUUCGUAUCAACCACACCUUGCACAACAACCCGUUUUAAUGGUAUCAUGCUCCAUAACUCUUAUUUCUUCAGAAGCAGAUGUCGGCUCACCUUCUCAUCAGGCCUAGCCUCGAUAUGAGUUUAAUUUUUGUUCUACACACCCUUCUCCAAAAGGUGUUCCUAACUCGAAACCUUGCCCUAUUAAUUUCAACCCGAAAUCCAUAGAUUCUAAAACUGUUUAAUCUCUCUAUCGCCCUUUCUGCAUCAGUCACGCAUUCAGUGCAGUCUUUGCGGCAAGUUGUUAACAAAGAUCGUCGGACACUUGAGAUUCCCCUCCACCGGCGAAUGGUUAUUCGAAAAUUUUCGUUUAAGUAGUAUUAUGCUAUUUUAAAUAUUCUUAUGCUUAACUUUUUUGUCCAUUUUACAAUCUAUAUUUAAGGUUUGUUAUUACAUUAUUUCACUGUGUAUUAAUGAAAAUUUUUCACACUUAUUUCUUUUCUCAUUCAAAAUUAUUAUUAUUAUUAGAAGUCACUUAUAGUUAAAUUAAUCUUUCUGUUAAAAUUUCAUCAAUUUCUAUUAUUAAAAAUUUAUUUUUAUAUGUCAAAAUGAGGUACACCGGACAUACCAUGUGCCACUGUUUAAUAUUUGUUAGCUAUGAUAGUUUUAAUAAUAGAAAUGGAUGAAUUUUUUAAGAAACAAGAUCAAUUUACUCUUUAAUCUAAUAUAUUGGAACUAAUUUACUUGUUUUUAAAUAAAGUGAUCAAAUAUAAUCGAAUUUGUAGGACGAAGAUAUCUAUAAUAAUUUUACAAGAAACUGAGUGAAAGGUACAAGAAGCAAAAGCCAACACCUAAAAUCACCCAGAACUUAACAAUAAUCAUCUAAGAACAACUCCAAAAGACACCAAGAAACAGCAAUAAAUACAACUCUAACACCAGCAACCAAUUCCACACCACAAGAAUAAAAAACCUAACAACCCCAUAUUAUCAGUCUCCACACAACCAGAAAAUAACAAACACCCUUAGUAAUAAGCAAACCCAAUCACACAAUCACCAAAGCAAAAGUAUAAGCUAGAAAAGUUUAUUAUACCUAUGUAUUUUCUGCUAUAUAGGUGGGGAGGGGUGAAAGUAUAAAGGUGGGUGCUUGAGGAUUUGGAGAAAGGGAGAGUAAAAACUAGAAGAAAAUUUGGUUACCUAUGUACGAAAAUCAUUUGAUACAUAGAGUUUUUUACACUUUACAAGCGGAUUAAUACGCAGAUAUAUUAAAUAAUUACCCAUAUACAGCAAAAUAUGUAGGCAGCUGAAGAAAUUAUAAAGAACUGAGAGAUUAAAGAUGAAACAUUAAACAUAGAAGACACAGAUACUUAGUUCCAUAUUAUAUUGUUGAAAAGGUCGACGAACUGGCAGUGAAGGAUGCGUUUAUGGAUAAGGAGAUGAAGAAGCUUUUCCUCUCUAUAUCUAAUUAAAACACCAUAUAGCUAGCAAACCAAUCAUCCCAGAAAAAUAUUUAAAGAAAAAACAGUUAAGUCGUCACUACAUAUUAUUGUGCAAUUAAAAUAUAAUAUAUAAGGUAUGUUAAGCUGAAACAUAUUAUGUAAUCGAGGAAUAAUGUGACAGAACCUAGUCCAGGCUAACUUCACUAGCCUGCAUAUGGAUUGGGUUGUGACAGAACCAAGUCCAAGCUAACACUUUGAUGAUGAGUAAUCAUGUUGCAACAUGCUUCUCCAGCUGCAUCACUAGGCCCACUGCCAUAGGCUAUUGCAUCACCACCCUCGGCGAUACCAAAGAAGUCGGUUUCUCUUUCUGGUUUGGCCAUACAGGGCGAGAGGAGUGAGGGUUCACCCGUGUCAGUACCCUUGGUAAUGCCCA